UACGUAGGGUGCGAGCGUUGUCCGGAAUUACUGGGCGUAAAGAGCUCGUAGGUGGUUUGUCGCGUUGUUCGUGAAAACUCACAGCUUAACUGUGGGCGUGCGGGCGAUACGGGCAGACCGGAGUACUGCAGGGGAGACUGGAAUUCCUGGUGUAGCGGUGGAAUGCGCAGAUAUCAGGAGGAACACCGGUGGCGAAGGCGGGUCUCUGGGCAGUAACUGACGCUGAGGAGCGAAAGCGUGGGGAGCGAACAGG
rnacentral:rRNA from 1 species